GGGAGCCCGAUUUGGGUUCCCGUUUGCUUUUCCCGUCUGAUGUGGGUUGGCCUUCCCGUCCUUUUUUUUUUUUUUUUUUGUCUUUUUCCCUCCCUCACCCAGAUCUCUCUCGCAAAGACUCCCUCUUGCCCAGUGAAACUCAUUCGCCGUCUCCCAUCUCCCUUGCGUCUCCAUCUCCCUACCCUCACGUCUCCAUCUCCCCUGCCCAGUAAACCCGUCUUCCCUGCCCGCCGAUCACUGCCCAGUUCUUCUCCAAGGAUCAACAAAGUCAAGUUUGAACACAUGCGCCAGAUUUUUUUUCAACUCCUUCGACUAUUCAUCACUCACAUGAGUCAACUUCAGAGGCUUUUCAUCAAGACUUCAAUGCGUUCUGAUUGGUAGAGGCCAUGAGACAAAUUUGUGUCAAUUAUUACUUGUUUUGUAAUUUUGAAAUCUUGGGUUUUUAUUGAACCUGUUUUUGUAACUCCUUGUUAAUGUAAGCACUCGUGGUUUUCCUCAAUUGAUGUAAGUACUCGUGGUUUUUGUAA